UCGAAUGAUCUCGCUCUUGCUGACGGGAACAUGCCUUUUAAUUUGGGCAAGUGGUGCUCUCGAUCCAGAAAGGAGCUCAUCUGCUGAUCGUGUUUGGUCAGUCAAGAGGGGUGUAUUUGCGAUGAUUGCUGUUUUUUUGGCUUACUCUUUUCUUCAGGCACCUUCAACGUGAGUUACAGAACUCUUUUC